rnacentral:rRNA from 1 species
GACGAACGCUGGCGGCGUGCUUAACACAUGCAAGUCGAACGGAAAGGCCCUGCUUUUGUGGGGUGCUCGAGUGGCGAACGGGUGAGUAACACGUGAGUAACCUGCCCUUGACUUUGGGAUAACUUCAGGAAACUGGGGCUAAUACCGGAUAGGAGCUCCUGCUGCAUGGUGGGGGUUGGAAAGUUUCGGCGGUUGGGGAUGGACUCGCGGCUUAUCAGCUUGUUGGUGGGGUAGUGGCUUACCAAGGCUUUGACGGGUAGCCGGCCUGAGAGGGUGACCGGCCACAUUGGCACUGAGAUACGGCCCAGACUCCUACGGGAGGCAGCAGUGGGGAAUAUUGCACAAUGGGCGGAAGCCUGAUGCAGCAACGCCGCGUGCGGGAUAACGGCCUUCGGGUUGUAAACCGCUUUCGCCUGUGACGAAGCGUGAGUGACGGUAAUGGGUAAAGAAGCACCGGCUAACUACGUG